rnacentral:rRNA from 1 species
AUAUUAAGAAAUUUAUAAUUAAUAAUUAUUAUAAGCCAGGAAAGCAUGAUUUUAUAGUUUAAUUUAAUUUCUAUCUUAGGUUGGACCGAGUGUGGCCAAAUUUGAGUCUAGUACAUUUUAAAAUUUCCAGCUUGUCUGGAUUGUAAAGUCGAUGACGUGGCUUGCAAUUAAAAUUAGGUUGUAGCUCCAGCGUUUGAAAAAAUAACUAUUCUUGAGUAAUUUUUUUAAUGCGACAAUAGGGAUUCCAUUAAAUUAGAAUAUUAGUAUUUAUUACCUAGUUAAUGAGUAUUUAUUUACCAUAUUAUUAUAUUUUCAAUAAAUUUAAAAGAUCAGUGGGGUUGGUUUAUUAAAUAUUUUUUAAUUUUAAAUUAAGAAUUUUUAUUAAAAUAAUUUUAAUAAUUUGAGAUAUCCCAGAAGAGCAGAAAAUUAUUAUAAAUUCGAAAAAUUGAAUUUUUAUUUUAAGAUAUUUUAAAUUAAUUUCUGUCAUUAAAAGAGUAAUUUGGUAAGUAUGUUCGAAGAUUAAUUCUUUGAUUACUAAUACGAUGGAAACAUGUCAGUUUUAUGACGUCGGUAAGUUAAGUAGUAACCCGUCCGGGCU